rnacentral:rRNA from 1 species
AUUGAACGCUGGCGGCAGGCCUAACACAUGCAAGUCGAGCGAGCGGCGGACGGGUGAGUAAUGUAUGGGGACUGCCCGAUAGAGUGGGAUAACUACUGGAAACGGUGGCUAAUACCGCAUACUAUCGGAUAACCCAUAGGGGAUUAGCUAGUAGGUGGGGUAAAGACUCACCUAGGCGACGAUCUCUAGCAGGGCUGAGAGGAUGAUCAGCAACACUGGGACUGAGACACGGACCAGACUCCUACGGAGUCAGCAGUGGGGAAUAUUGCACAAGGGGCGCAAGCCUGAUGCAGCCAUGCCGCGUGUAUGAAGAAGGCCUGAGGGUUGUAAAGUACUUUCAGCGGGGAGGCGUUACCCGCAGAAGAAGCACCGGCUAACUCCGUGCCAGCAGCCGCGGUAAUUC